rnacentral:rRNA from 1 species
GAUGAACGCUGGCGGCGUGCCUAAUACAUGCAAGUCGAGCGAACAGACGAGGAGCUUGCUCCUCUGACGUUAGCGGCGGACGGGUGAGUAACACGUGGAUAACCUACCUAUAAGACUGGGAUAACUUCGGGAAACCGGAGCUAAUACCGGAAAAUAUAUUGAACCGCAUGGUUCAAUAGUGAAAGACGGUUUUGCUGUCACUUAUAGAUGGAUCCGCGCCGCAUUAACUAGUUGGUAAGGUAACGGCUUACCAAGGCAACGAUGCGUAGCCGACCUGAGAGGGUGAUCGGCCACACUGGAACUGAGACACGGUCCAGACUCCUACGGGAGGCAGCAGUAGGGAAUCUUCCGCAAUGGGCGAAAGCCUGACGGAGCAACGCCGCGUGAGUGAUGAAGGUCUUCGGAUCGUAAAACUCUGUUAUUAGGGAAGAACAAAUGUGUAAGUAACUAUGCACGUCUUGACGGUACCUAAUCAGAAAGCCACGGCUAACUACGUG